AUGGCAGCGUGCGUCUUUGUGGUCAACGAGGUGUGGUUUUCGGCUGUGGCUUUCGUGGCUUUGUCGGGGUCUUUGGUGCUUGCUUCUUCGUCGGAGUCGGGUCCGGAUCUGUUGUUGGCAUUUUCUUCUUCCUCUACAUCAGAUCUUCUUUCUUUGGCGGCGCUUGUGGGAGAGAAGGAGAGGGGCAGCAGACAUUCCUGCCGUGUUUCGUUGUCGGUGUGGCCGCGGGGGAGGGUUGCCCUGUCGUUUCGUCAGCUGAUAAGAGCGUGUUGCCAUGCCUCUGGAUGGCCGCAUGCCGGAUCCACGCCGGCCGUAUCGGCUUCUUCUGCUCCACAGCAGGUUCUAUUUUCUCUUCUCUUUGUCUUGGUUGUAGUUGGAUAUCUUUUCGGGGCUGUUCCAGCCUUAGCUUGCCAAGCCAAAGGUGUGGCGUGCCACAACUUUUCAGGCAUGCGUUUGGUUCUAUACUAA
rnacentral:rRNA from 1 species